rnacentral:rRNA from 2 species
AUUAGAUACCCUAUUAUUUUUAAUGUAAAAAAUUAAGCCAGAGUACUAUUAGUUAAGGUCUUGAAACUUAAAGAAUUUGGCGGUAUUAUAGUCUAUUUAGAGGAAUCUGUUAGGUAAUCGAUAGCCCACGUUGAACCUUACUUAUAUUAUUUCUUGUAUACCGCUGUUUAAUGAAUAUACUUUUAGGUUAUUUUCUGAAUAAAGAAGUAAUUAAAAUUUCAAGUCAAGGUGCAGUAAUAUAUAAGUCGUAAAUGGAUUACAAUAAAUUUUGUUUAUUACGGAUAAUUUUUGGAAUAAUUGUUUGAAGGUGGAUUUAAUUGUAAUUUUUUAAAGAUUGUUUAAAUGAUUGGUAGCUCUAUAAUAUGCACACAUCGCCCG